rnacentral:lncRNA from 1 species
GUAACAUACUUGAAAAAUGGAAAUAGGAAGAAUAUUGUUUCCCCCCCAUACUUAAAUUAAACAUUGUCCCCAAUGUUUUAAGGAAAUGAAAUACAAGAUGGAAAGGAAAAAGAAACUACAACUAAGGUUGUCUUCCGCCUCUGGUUCUUGGACUUGGUGAUCUCUGACGUAAGUCUAAGUUGUCGAACCUGCUGAACAACUCAGUAAACCGCUGGUCGGUUAUGGCAUUCCUAGCGUCGUGUUGCUGUUGCAUUUGAUGCAUCAUCUGCAGCAUCUCGACAUUCUGUGCCUGCAUUCCAUCGAUAGCAUCCAUAAUG